AUAUAUAUCAAAGUGUACCUUUGCAUUUGUGAGUAAUCUCUUACUUCUAUUUGAAUUUCGGAUUAAGGAAAUUGCAAGAACAGUGAAACUAUUCAACAUCUUGAAACAUAGGGAAUUUUGUUCGCAUCUCAAAUAAGUGGAAACUGGAAAGCAUAUGAGUCAUCAGUGGCAACUGACCAUUGUUUUCUUUCAAAAGAAAGAAAGAGAGACACAAAAUCUUUAUACAUCUUUGCAUUCCUUCCCCAACUCCCUCUUAAGACAUUCACCCUACUCGUAAUAGCACACUUAAUGUUAGAUUUUUUCUGUAACUAAAGAAAGCAUGGAGUUUCAAAAACAAUUGAACUUCUAAAUGAUGAGGAACGUUGGUAAGAAUAAUAUCAUAUCACGACUCUAGGACACUCCAAAAUACUCUAAAACUCAACUGACUCAUCACUGAAAUACAAUGACGCCUAAAACAACUCUUUAUCAAAACUGGAUUCAGAAAUAUGACUAAAACGCUGCCAUAGUUAGGGGAAGCCCUAAACUUCCUGGUAGAAUCAUAUUAAUACCAGUCGAAGUACUUUAGAAAAAAG
rnacentral:lncRNA from 1 species